rnacentral:lncRNA from 1 species
AUGAACGAAGUCUGGGCAACCCCCAAGCUCCACAGAAAAGAAGCACUAUGCCGGAACAGCCAAAAUGUGGCACUGUUAUCAUCAAGAGCAGUCACUUUCAUGCAUUGUUUUUAUGCACCGCUGAUAGCAGCCUUCCCCUUCUCACUGCAGUGCAAUGAGACAGGCACAAGGGAGAAUUAUGUUUGCGACUCCACAAGGAGUCAAACAGCGUGGUGGCUGGGAGAAAACCAAGUGGAUCUAAAGCCACAUCAGGGGUUUUGUCACAGGUUAACCCAGUCUUACUGACUGCUCUGGGAGCAUAGGUCUGUACAGAGGGAGAAGGACUGAAACUGAGCACUUAAUGAGACAAGAAGGCAGCGUCUAGUUAGACAAAGUGAUGAUGACAGAAUUGCUGGACUAUAUGUAUUUUUUUUUGCUGGAAAGCACAAAAUAAAAAAUGACUACUUCAGUAUUAGCUUCCA